rnacentral:rRNA from 1 species
GACGAACGCUGGCGGCGUGCUUAACACAUGCCAGUCGAACGGAAAGGCCCUGCUUUUGUGGGGUGCUCGAGUGGCGAACGGGUGAGUAACACGUGAGUAACCUGCCCUUGACUUUGGGAUAACUUCAGGAAACUGGGGCUAAUACCGGAUAGGAGCUCCUGCUGCAUGGUGGGGGUUGGAAAGUUUCGGCGGUUGGGGAUGGACUCGCGGCUUAUCAGCUUGUUGGUGGGGUAGUGGCUUACCAAGGCUUUGACGGGUAGCCGGCCUGAGAGGGUGACCGGCCACAUUGGGACUGAGAUACGGCCCAGACUCCUACGGGAGGCAGCAGUGGGGAAUAUUGCACAAUGGGCGGAAGCCUGAUGCAGCACCGCCGCGUGCGGGAUGACGGCCUUCGGGUUGUAAACCGCUUUCGCCUGUGACGAAGCGUGAGUGACGGUAAUGGGUAAAGAAGCACCGGCUAACUACGUG